rnacentral:rRNA from 1 species
GAGUUUGAUCAUGGCUCAGAUUGAACGCUGGCGGCAUGCUUUACACAUGCAAGUCGAACGGUAACAGGGAGCUUGCUCCGCUGACGAGUGGCGAACGGGUGAGUAAUGCGUCGGAACGUGCCGAGUAGUGGGGGAUAACGCAUCGAAAGGUGUGCUAAUACCGCAUACGAACUGAGGUUGAAAGUGGGGGACCUUCGGGCCUCACGCUAUUCGAGCGGCCGACGUCUGAUUAGCUAGUAGGUGAGGUAAAGGCUCACCUAGGCGACGAUCAGUAGCGGGUCUGAGAGGAUGAUCCGCCACACUGGGACUGAGACACGGCCCAGACUCCUACGGGAGGCAGCAGUGGGGAAUUUUGGACAAUGGGCGCAAGCCUGAUCCAGCCAUGCCGCGUGUCUGAAGAAGGCUUCGGGUUGUAAAGGACUUUUGUCUGGGAGCAAAUACCCGGUGUUAAUAGCGCCGGGGGCUGAGAGUACCAGAAGAAUAAGCACCGGCUAAC